rnacentral:rRNA from 1 species
GACGAACGCUGGCAGCGUGCUUAACACAUGCAAGUCGAACGGAAAGGCCCUGCUUUUGUGGGGUGCUCGAGUGGCGAACGGGUGAGUAACACGUGAGUAACCUGCCCUUGACUUUGGGAUAACUUCAGGAAACUGGGGCUAAUACCGGAUAGGAGCUCCUGCUGCAUGGUGGGGGUUGGAAAGUUUCGGCGGUUGGGGCUGGACUCGCGGCUUAUCAGCUUGUUGGUGGGGUAGUGGCUUACCAAGGCUUUGACGGGUAGCCGGCCUGGGAGGGGGACCGGCGACAUUGGGACUGAGAUACGGCGCAGACUCCUACGGGAGGCAGCAGUGGGGAAUAUUGCACAAUGGGCGGAAGCCUGAUGCAGCAACGCCGCGUGCGGGAUGACGGCCUUCGGGUUGUAAACCGCUUUGGCCUGUGACGAAGAGUGAGUGACGGUAAUGGGUAAAGAAGCACCGGCUAACUACGUG